rnacentral:rRNA from 1 species
UACGAAGAGGGCUAGCGUUGCUCGGAAUCACUGGGCGUAAAGGGUGCGUAGGCGGGUCUUUUAAGUCAGGGGUGAAAUCCUGGAGCUCAACUCCAGAACUGCCUUUGAUACUGAAGAUCUUGAGUUCGGGAGAGGUGAGUGGAACUGCGAGUGUAGAGGUGAAAUUCGUAGAUAUUCGCAAGAACACCAGUGGCGAAGGCGGCUCACUGGCCCGAUACUGACGCUGAGGCACGAAAGCGUGGGGAGCGAACAGG